UAAAAACAAGUCCAAAGCAAAAGUGAAACCUGCUCUCCGGCUGUUCACCAUUUGUGCCUACAGCAGCCUCCUGGUGAUUACUUACAAUAACGGACUACUCCUGGAAAUGAACAUGAACCAAUUGCUGUAUUAAAUCUAACUGGUCACACCAACUGGGAAGAGGUGCCAUCAAGCCUGAUAGGGAAGACUAAAUAUCCAGGUCCAAAAUUCCAUAGCAAGAAGCUGCUGGGCCUGUCCCCAACUCAGUGGAAAUGUCUGAGGAAGUUCACAUGAUUUCCAUGCCUAGCUAGACCUUUAUUCUACAGGAUGCCCUGGGUUUAAGCAGCAGAAUAGAGACUCUGCAGCAGCUUUAGAUACAUUAAAGACUGGAGGGUCUGAAUGAAAUAGGAUUAUGAAUAAUGCAGCCUAUUCCUUGUGCUAUUUAUUUUGACAUUAUAUUCAGUUUAUUUUACUCUACCUCUACAUUGCCAAGAUUCGAAUGUGAGCAGUGUCUCGAUUUAGGAUUCCCUUCUCCCUCCCACCCUCUUUGGUGCGGUAGUUUUGUAAUCUGGAUUUUGGAUGCAACACCUAGAAGACUUGUUCAGAUCUGGAUCCAAACACUCCCCAAAUUCAGUGAUGUUUGCAUUUGGAAUCUGGAUUUGGGGCUCCUUGUCUUUGGCCAGCACAGUGUUUGUGCCAAUUUUCUCCCAUCUGUUAAUGUCUGCUCUCCCUAUUCUUUUAUUGGUCUUCUAGGACUGCCAUUUAUAUUAAGACCAAAUCAGAAAUAGUGUAAUCCAGCCUCACUGCAGGGACGGCCUUGGAACUGCACCUGCUCAUUCCAGGUCUGAAUUUGGCUCCAUAAAUUCUUAAUGGCAUCACUCACAAUAGAUUAUCCCAGUUACAAUAUAGCUAUUCCUUUUUAAACACCAUUUUCUUGUUAAUCCCUUUGAAUAAAUGGUUUCCCUUGAUUAAUUUUGUGCCAAAUCCCAGAUUCACAUAAACACAAUCAUUUGCUGCUCCCUCUUCUCAUGCACAAGACAGCUGUGCUCUAUUGCAAUUGAACCAGUUUUGAAUCUGACUUCUCAGGCUUCCUAGAAACAUGUGCCUUGAUAAUCAUUCCAAGUGAAAUGUCAUUGGGAAUUUCUUAUGUAGAAAUCGUGCAUGGAUAAUUGCUAUAUGGAAAUUGCUGCUUUAGCUAGGAAUAAGGACAUGUCCGAAUGAGGCCAUCCGGCCAUCUGCUGCACUAUUUCAAUGCCCCCUCUCUUAGCCCCAGGAGUCAGAGACAUGGCACCGCUGGAGCCUACAGGCAGCUCAGCUGCACCAUCACCAUAUGCAGACAGCUACUGACCCAGCUACUGGGGCCCAGCAUCCAUGUUUCUGCUCAUUCCCCCACCAUUAUGCUGAGGGAUCUUUCAUUGCUUCAUCUUUGUUGGCAUCUAACCUGGCAAAAAGUGCCUCUCCACCUUGAAUUUAUUGGAUUCAUUCAGAGCAAAAGAGUAGAGAGAGCUCAUCCGAAAUAUAUCGGUAAACAAGUGCUUGUCACUGCUGGGGUGAUUACUGUAAUAUUUAUAUUCCAAAGACUGCAACUAAGCAAAAACCUGGUCAGUAGUUCCAACAGAGAAAGCAUGAUGAUUCUGAGGACCAAAUUCAGCUCAUGCAUAAGCAAGCACAAUUCCUAUGGAAUCCAAGAGGUAUUGUGCCCACCUACACCAGAGCUGAACUGAACCUGGAGACUAAUUCACAAAGGUACUUAGGAAUUUGAACUUGGGUUUCCUACAUUCCUGGUGAGUGCCCUGACCACUGGGCUAUUGGCUAUUCCAGGGACAUCUAGGCACACAAUUCUCGACUUCCUUGCACUUGGCUGUCUUUUGUACAGGGCCUGAUCCUGUAGGUGUGCUCCGAGAACACUUACAGAAUUGGGCCCUGAUGGGAAGAGAGGUAGGGUAGUUGCCUACAUGAGCAAGGGCUCUACGCUGCUUGGCUGUGUGGUGGCAUCGGGACUUAGUGGCUCUGUGCAUGCCCACUGGCAGACACUUAGGUCCCUACAGGGUUAGGCGACAGCUGAGUGGUGAUAUUGAGAAUGUCAGAGGCAGCUAAGUCCCUUUGUGAAUCUGGCCCUGCAGGCCUGAUUCUUUUACUUCAUCAGGCCAGUCUCUGCCAGCAGAGGUAUGCUAUUAAAAUCAAUGGCUUUAUGGAUUUAUACGGGAGUAAAACUAAUGUAAAGCGGGGGGGAAAUCAGGUCCUAAAAGUGAGCUGGGAGCAAAUUGUCAGCUCACUCCAGACACCCUUAAAUACCAUCCUUAUCUCUGGCCAUACUGAACACUGAAAGCCAAUCCUCCUGCAAGUUCUGUCUCUCUGUGAUGAAGUGAGAAUGCUUACACCAGAAUGGACCUGUCUGAAAUUGGGCUGGGAUGUAGAGUUUGACGUUGCUGUAUGAGAGAUGCCUAUUGCUGUAUAUACUGAAAAACUAACUAAUGCUCAGGCAUGCGAGGAAGUGAGAUGCCUCUAGAACAGCAAAGUCAAGUAGUAGGUGUCUGAACUUUGAUCUGUUCUCUGUAAGGCUAGGAAAGGUGGCUUAGUGGACAGGACAUUGGGCUGCGAUUUGGGAGACUUUGGUUCAAUUUCUGACUCAGAAACAGACUUCCUGUCUGGCCAAUGGCAAGUGACUAAAUUUAGGCUAUGUCUACACUACAAAGAUAUGUCGACCUACAGCCAUGGCAUUGAUGUCCACACUACCCUCUGUCUGUCGGUCGUGCACCUCCUCACCAGGAGCACUUCCACUGACUGAAAAGGGGCAGCAUGGGGGGCUGAAAGCCAGGGCUCUCAGCUCCAUGCAGCUCCCCACUUGGAGCCCAGUUGACCUCAGGGCUUUUUGCCUCCAUGCUUCCAGCUGGAAGCACAGGGGAAGCCUCCCAAGGCUUCUUGCCUCCAGUGGGGAGAUCAGCUCUGGGAGUCUGGUUAGCUGCCGUGCUCCCAGCAGAAAGCAGGGAGCCAAGACCCUGGGGGACACAGGACUCCCAGUAGGGCAUGCUGAUCCAGAAGCCUUGGAAGCAGCCCAAGCCUGGAGCCUGGAUGGCAGCCUGGCUUGGAGCAGAGACUGGGCAGCGUCCAGCAGAGCCGUGAAAUUGACAAGAAUGACAGCCAACAGCCGAUGGAAGGACAGGAGUGUCUACACAGACACUGCAUCACCCUAACUACACCGACAUAGCCCUACUCCUCCCGUCGAGGUAGUUUUAUUAUGUCGGCAUAGCAGGGGCGUUACAUUGGCGGGAGGAAAGUUUCAGCGUGUACUCCUCCACGGUUUUGUCUACAAAAGCUGACAAAACUGUAUAGUGUCGACAAGGCCUAUGCCUUAGUCCUCUAUCUGUGAAAUGGGUUAAUACUUCCGUACCUCACAGGGGCAUUGCGAGAAUAAAAUCCGUUAAUGGUGGCGAGGCGCUGAGAUACUAUGGUGCUGAAAACCAUAUGCAAGGAAAGUUUGGUGGCUGUGGUAUAAAACACUACGAAAAACUGUUUAGUUCUUAGUUUGGUCAUAGAAGCAACCUGAAUUAAGUAAAUGUCUAUUUCCUGUGUUUUCUAAAGGAUAUAGAUAGGGCACCCAGAAUUUGGAAAGGAAACUCCAGCUGCUAUUAGUUCCUGACAGACACAAUUGCUAAUUCAGAGGCCAGGAAGUAGUGACAUGCAUUUUUUCCAUUAUAAACUAGUCAGCAUGCUGUUAUCUGACUGGAAACUCUACCAGAAUAAAGGGAAUUUAAAUUUCACCUCUACGAUAACAUAAGGGAUUUUUUCCCUCUUCAAAUUUUUUUAUAUUUUUCAUUCCUCCCAGCCCAUUUGUUCCCAUUCUGGCAUCUUACCUCUUGACAACUGGGAUGGCUGAUGAAUCCCUUCGCAGAGUGGAUUGCCACAUGUUGUAUAAUGAAGUAAUGUACCUCUGUGUCUAGCACACAGCUGGCACUUUACAACAAAUAGCAAAAAAAAAAAAAAAAAAAAUCAACAAUUGUAAGGUGACUGGCUUGAUAUCUUUGCUUUGAAGGCAUAGCUGGGAUGGCAAGAGGUUCUUGUAAAUUGUUCUAUUGUUGGCCUUCUGGGAAAGUCCUGUAAAAUUUAUCAAAGGUUCCUGUCCUGUCUAUGGGUGUUUUGAACCGUACUCUAGAAUUCUAAAGCAGGGAUAUAAUUCUCUAUUAAAUGUUAUGGAAUGGUUUGUCUUAAAAAAAAAAAAAAAGGCUAUAGCAAGUUUAUAAUUUUCUGUUACAUUCCAGGACUUUUCCAGAAGGGUAGAAUGGGACUGGGAUGUUUACACCUGCACUUAUUCUUCAUUAGGAUCUAUUUCUUCAUUCAUCACCUCUAAGAACUAGAACAUUGGUUAACACAGAGCAUUGCUAUCAAUAAAGUUGACCUGAUAAACGUGUAAGGAGAAAUUUAUCGGGAAAUGUCAUGCAAGCAGUUCCGAGCAUGUACAUCACUGAUGCCCUAACCUGUUUGUAGCAUAACUUCUGAGGGAGAUGGUUCAUACACAAGUUGGGGAAGAGAAAAGGCACCACUAAUUCCAUCGUUCUUCGUGGAAUGGAGACCAAGAUGCUGCUUCUCAUCUCAGUGUUAAAGAACAGGCUUCCUCUAGUGCACAGCUGGAAACAUCUGCACUUGUGGAUCCUAUAGGACUAUGACCAUAUUGUGGUUUUGAAACAAAGCGUAGCAGAUAAAAGGUUGAGUUCUUUUCACUCAUGCAUCACUUGGAAACCAACUUGGUCCAUUCCUUAUUAGUCCCACUGAAGCUUCCCGAUGUAUUUGAUUUUCCUUUCAAUAAAAUCAGACCUUGAGCCAAGGAUUAAGAAUCUGAUGCUGCAAAGUGCCAACUCCGAAUUAAGUCAAUGGGAGUGAAAUCUACUCAGCACCUUGCAAGGUUGGACUUUUAUACAGGUAUUCAGAACAGCAUGUUUAUUUUGAAGGAUGCAGAGCCCUUGAAGUGAAUGGGAGUCUUUUUGAUUGCAAUGGACUUGAUGAGGCUGACAGAGCAUCUAUCCAGGCUACAGGUGUUUGAACAGCUUCUAAAACACAAUCCAGGAAGCAAAGAAUAGCUCCCGGAUACCACCUGACUGUAAAUUGACACAGCUCCAUAGAUUUCAGUUGGGUUACACUGAUUUACAAGAGCUAUCCAGCCCAAUAGCCUCUCAAACACCAUAACUCAACUCAUGUCACAAGAAGUCAUCUGGAGCCCAUCCAAAGUCUACUCACACUCUCCAAAAGCCCCAGUAUCUCAGCCCUCUGCAUAAGGGAAAACAGACAGACUUCGCAGGGGGUGUGUUUGAGAUAUUUCAAACCAGCCAUGUAACUGGGUGGAUGAAUAGUAAGGCUGAGGACCCUUCCCAGUGAACCACCUUCUGGCUGACCCUCAGGAUGCUCCACGGUUGUAACUAUCAGUAUUGCACAGGAAGAGGCAGCCUCCCAAAUAAGUGGGUCACAAGCUAGGUACAACUUUAUAGGUCAAAACUAACCCCUGAAAUCCUACCCAGAAACCAAGAGGCAGCUAAUGCCCAUCACAGGGCACGGGUGUCCCAUAGUGAGAGACUUGGUUUAGCAAGAAGGUUGCCUCAGUUUUCAAUGCAGUGCCAGGUACAGUGGAUUGCAGUGCUGAAGACCGGAUGGAUCAUGGCAGUGAGGGAAAGGUUUACAUGCUACUGACCAGACAGAGAGUCGGGGUGAAAGUAAUUUAAAGGACUUACCGGUACUUCGGAGUCCUCAGCAGGGGGACAUGGCCUUGACCGGAAGAGGCGGGGGCUUUAAAUACCAGAGCCCUUGCCCUGGGGCCUUUAAAUCACCCCUGGAGCUAUCAGCUGCAGAUGCAGCUGGGAGCCCUGGGGCUCAGGGGCGAUUUAAAGGGCCCCGGGCUCUGGCCGCCGCUACCGCAGCAGAACUCCAGGCCCUUUAAGUCACCUCCGGAGCCCUGCCAGCGCUACCCUGGGGCUCCGGCAGUCGGGCUCGGGUGGUGCUUUCAAGGGCCCCGGGGGCUCCGGCCGCUGCGGGGGUCCCCAGGGGCUCUAGCCACUGCGGGGAGCCCCGGGG